AAAGAGAGGAAGUUUUCGCAUUCUGAUUGCAGCCUGAGUUCCCCGUAGCAAGGCUGCUUCUCUCCACCCACUCCUCACCAAGAACUCCUGAACUUGAGGGUGGACGACUUCAAAGCUAGCUCCCACAGACUCACCUGAAAAAGAGUUCAGCUGCGCGUUCAUUGAACCUGAUCACCUAUGUGAGGCGGUGGGAACCAUAUGGAGAUUUAUAUUAGAACUUCAGCAAAGUGCACAGCUGCAGCCGGCCGAAGCCAGCUCUCGGGCUGACAGGCAAAUGAACCAGAUCCUGGACGGGGCCUCUGGGUGGCAGCUCCGGCCUUUUGGUUGUUGGACAACUAUAGUCAGAACUGAAGUGGAACAGGGGCAGGAGAAAUAAUACACUUUUACUCCACGCAACUGUUGCUUUCACAUGAUCUUCAGGAAUGUAACUGGGAUAAUUGUCCAAAUCAAAUCCCAUGCCCUGUCAUGCACACCAGAAUAGAGGUCCUGUCUUACUAAGCACUAUACAGUAUGGAGAGAUCCUGCCAAACCCGUCGGGACGAAUAACAGAUGAAUUCGUAAAACUGUUCAUCUCUGUUAUCCUGAAUGGUCGCUCAGACAACAUUUUACUCAACUAUAAAGGGGAACACUUAAAGUGCAUAUGAGAAGAGAAGAGAAUGACCACAGGAGAAAAUCAUCUCAGGUAAAACGAAAAGGCACAAAUGUAGAGUGUAAUUAAUCUUAGAAUAUUAAAGAGGAAAUGAUUAUGUCUGUGUUUGGUAUAAGAAAUGGUCCUUCCCUUUAUGAAGCUACCUAUUUGGGAUUUUCACUGAUGGUUUUCCUUCAAGAGUUUACAGUAUUACUUGCCUUUGUCAACCUUUUGUUUGGUUUUGUGAUCAAUGCCCAGUGUCCAUCAUUCUGAGGACAUAUGUGUAUGUUGAUUUAUACAAUUCAGGUACAAGAUGGUUGAAUAGGAAGCUAUUUAAUGAAAAGGAAAACAUGUUCUCAGUGGUUAUACAUUAUAAAAGGAAGCAAAAAUCUGAUAGAAAAGUAUAAGCUCAUAGUUUUUUUUUUAAUCUUUUCCAUAUAUCUAGUAAGACAAUAAAGUCAAAGUAUAUUUUGUAGUAAUAAAAGCGACAGCCAGUGUUUCCUCUUUCAUUUUUUAAAACAUGAAAUGUAUAAAUAUAUAAGGAAAUACUUUUACUACAAUUGGAUGCAUGAUUGUUGAUUAUUUACUACAGUUUUAAUAAGUAGGAGAAUGAUUUGAAAAUAAAUAAUGGUGAAAAUUUGUGUAGGCCAAAUUAUCUGUAUUAAACUGGAGAAAAUACAUUCUAUUCUUAUUUAUUUCAAAACAUGCCAAAUCAUGAAGUAAUUACUAUGCAGUAUUAUUUUUCACAAUGAAGAUAUAAUUAAGAAAAGCUAAAUCAUUUUAGAUAUGAGUGCAAUGAUUAACGAUUGUACAACUUAUAAUUUUGCUUCAGAUGAGCUUAGAAUCGUAAAAAUGUACAUGUAACUGGCUUCGUGUGUGCUCACUGGCUUGCUUUCUUACAGUGCAGUAGCUGACAGAAUUAAGAAUCAUUUAUUUCAUUUCAACCUGUUGAACAGAGGAAUUAUAUAUAACUGUAUAUUUUGUUGAAAGUAUAUAGUUCUUGGGAAAUAGAUUUAAAUGUGUUUUGUUGAAAGGGAAUGUAUGCUCUUUGGUGUGAUAUAAGCAAAUACAAAUAUUCCAGAAUAGCAGGAAUAACACUGAUCAUGUCAUUGAUUUUAGGGUUUUUUGAUACCAUAUCUUUUCCUCAUUGCUGUAAAAGUUUAAUUUCAUCCCCACUGUAGACACAUGUCUGUACAUCUAGAAUUUGUGGGUUUUGUGUUCUUUACCUAGUCAACAAGACCUCAUUUGUUUACAAAAGCUAUAAUGUGACUAAAUCUCAAAAAAUCAUUAAAUGAGUUUUAUGUGAAUAAAUACAAUCACUCUAGUGCAUAUACAAUUUAAUAACUUCCUUUUUAGUGGUAGACUUAUCAUACUAUAUCUGUGCCUCACAACAGUAUAAUUCGUAUAUAUUAGGUUCUCAAUUAGGACAUUUUAACAACAAUGUUAAAAUACUCACAAUUAAAAACAUAAGCAAUCUUUAAAAAAGAAAAAAAUCAAAAAGAAAAGAAAAGAAAGAAGUAAGAAAAGAAGAAAGGAAGGA
rnacentral:lncRNA from 1 species